rnacentral:rRNA from 1 species
UACGAAGGGUGCAAGCGUUACUCGGAAUUACUGGGCGUAAAGCGUGCGUAGGUGGUUCGUUAAGUCUGAUGUGAAAGCCCUGGGCUCAACCUGGGAAUGGCAUUGGAUACUGGCGACCUAGAGUGCGGUAGAGGGGUGUGGAAUUCCCGGUGUAGCAGUGAAAUGCGUAGAUAUCGGGAGGAACAUCUGUGGCGAAGGCGGCAUCCUGGACCGGCAUUGACGCUGAUGAGCGAAAGCUAGGGGAGCAAACGGG